GUGAACGCUGGCGGUAGGCCUAACACAUGCAAGUCGAACGGCAGCACAGUAAGAGCUUGCUCUUACGGGUGGCGAGUGGCGGACGGGUGAGGAAUACAUCGGAAUCUACUUUUUCGUGGGGGAUAACGUAGGGAAACUUACGCUAAUACCGCAUACGACCUACGGGUGAAAGCAGGGGAUCUUCGGACCUUGCGCGAUUGAAUGAGCCGAUGUCGGAUUAGCUAGUUGGUGGGGUAAAGGCCCACCAAGGCGACGAUCCGUAGCUGGUCUGAGAGGAUGAUCAGCCACACUGGAACUGAGACACGGUCCAGACUCCUACGGGAGGCAGCAGUGGGGAAUAUUGGACAAUGGGCGCAAGCCUGAUCCAGCCAUACCGCGUGGGUGAAGAAGGCCUUCGGGUUGUAAAGCCCUUUUGUUGGGAAAGAAAAGCAGCAGGUUAAUACCCCGCUGUUCUGACGGUACCCAAAGAAUAAGCACCGGCUAACUUCGUGC
rnacentral:rRNA from 1 species